UACGUAGGGUGCGAGCGUUAAUCGGAAUUACUGGGCGUAAAGCGUGCGCAGGCGGUUGUGCAAGACAGAUGUGAAAUCCCCGGGCUUAACCUGGGAACUGCAUUUGUGACUGCACGGCUAGAGUGUUGGAGGGGGGACUGGAAUUCUCGGUGUAGCAGUGAAAUGCGUAGAUAUCGAGAGGAACACCAGUGGCGAAGGCGAGUCCCUGGACAACUACUGACACUGAGGCACGAAAGCUAGGGGAGCAAACAGG
rnacentral:rRNA from 1 species